GGCGAGGUAGCUCAAUGGUGGAGCAGAGGACUCAUAAGCCUUUGGUUGUGGGUUCAAGUCCCACCCUCGCCACAA
rnacentral:tRNA from 1 species